ACGUAGCGGCGGACGGGUGAGUAACACGGUGGGUAACCUACCUAUAAGACUGGGAUAACUCCGGGAAACCGGGGCUAAUACCGGAUAACACAUGAAACCGCAUGGUUUCAUGAUGAAAGACGGUUUUGCUGUCACUUAUAGAUGGACCCGCGGCGUAUUAGCUAGUUGGUAAGGUAACGGCUUACCAAGGCAACGAUACGUAGCCGACCUGAGAGGGUGAUCGGCCACACUGGAACUGAGACACGGUCCAGACUCCUACGGGAGGCAGCAGUG
rnacentral:rRNA from 1 species